rnacentral:ribozyme from 1 species
UUUUUUUUUUUUUUUUUUUUUUUUCCACUUGCUGUCAAUCGCUUUGUUUUUACCAAAC